UACGGGGGGGGGCAAGCGUUGUUCGGAAUUACUGGGCGUAAAGGGCUCGUAGGCGGCCAACUAAGUCAGACGUGAAAUCCCCAGGCUCAACCUGGGAACUGCGUCUGAUACUGGAUGGCUUGAAUCCGGGAGAGGGAUGCAGAAUUCCAGGUGUAGCGGUGAAAUGCGUAGAUAUCUGGAGGAAUACCGGUGGCGAAGGCGGCAUCCUGGACCGGCAUUGACGCUGAGGAGCGAAAGCCAGGGGGAGCAAACGGG
rnacentral:rRNA from 1 species